GAUGAACGCUGGCGGCGUGCCUAAUACAUGCAAGUCGAGCGAACAGACGAGGAGCUUGCUCCUCUGACGUUAGCGGCGGACGGGUGAGUAACACGUGGAUAACCUACCUAUAAGACUGGGAUAACUUCGGGAAACCGGAGCUAAUACCGGAUAAUAUAUUGAACCGCAUGGUUCAAUAGUGAAAGACGGGUUUGCUGUCACUUAUAGAUGGAUCCGCGCCGCAUUAGCUAGUUGGUAAGGUAACGGCUUACCAAGGCAACGAUGCGUAGCCGACCUGAGAGGGUGAUCGGCUACACUGGAACUGAGACACGGUCCAGACUCCUACGGGAGGCAGCAGUAGGGACUCUUACGCAAUGGGCGAGAGCCUGACGGAGCAACGCCGCGUGAGUGAUGAAGGUCUUCGGAUCGGAGAACUCUGUUAUUAGGGAAGAAGAAAUGUGUAAGUAACUAUGCACGUCUUGACGGUACCUAAUCAGAAAGCCCCGGCUAACUACGUG
rnacentral:rRNA from 1 species